ensembl:lncRNA
GGGGGGACGGGGUGUAAGAAGCUUUUCAGAGAUUGAAUCGCAUUCCCCGAGACACAGGUGGCAAUCGACAGCCAGAGAGGAAGACUCCUCCGGGGGGCUCAGACCAAGCUGGGAGAGCUCUCAGGGCCCCCGACGCCCCACUGCAGCUUUCAGCCCGAACGUGUGGUCUCUGACUGCAGCAGAAUGUUAAUGAGGCCAGAACUCCACCCUGUGCAAUACAGACGAGGAGUCGUGGCAGAUUCUGCCGUCAACGCUCCGUCACUUUGUUUUACAGGGACAGAAACGACAGGGAUGCUCGAGAUUAAAAGAUCUGUUUAAUGGUCUGAUUAAUUCAUUCCAAACAGACCGAAACUGUUCUAGGAUUCUCCUUUGCUCCUAACCUUUUCAGCUUGUUUCCAUGCAUGCCGGCUUUCCUUUCUUCUUCCCUUUUUUUUUUUUUUUGGUNNNNNNNNNNUAAUUUAUUAUUCAGUUAGUGCUGCUCUGAUUCUGGUGUAGUUCGUGCAGUGUGUGAGAAAAACAGAGUGUGUGUGUGUGUGUGUGUGUGUGUGUGUGUUUCCCGAGAGAAGUCCAAAUGCUGCCGAAGUCCAAACCUGCAGCCACAACACUCCUCAAAAAGCACGAUCAGGCCUCAAACAAACACUGAAGCUCCGUGAACAGCGGAGGCGCGUGUGCUGCUCCAGCCGUUGCCCGCGGACCUGAGCCCAUCGGUGGCCGCGUUGCUCAGCAGCGAGGCCUCUGCCCGCAUGUGAGACAGUGGGAGGCAGUCGCUCCCUCUGAUGAAUGAGGCAUCUAAGUGGGAGCAGCAGGUGCCAGAAGCGGGGAGACCGAGCACAGAAGCUUUUUGAUGGGACAUUCGGGGGCUUUCACUCUGAACAGUGGCCUGUUUUCCUCCCUUUCAGAUUUUUUCCCUAAAUGUCCCUUUCACACCCUUUUCUAAGCUCGGUAUCGGGAAAAGUGCUAUGACCAAUGCCUGACGCUGGAGGAUUUUUAAAGCAAAUGACAGGGCAAACAUGGAUUAAAAAAUCAUUAGUCUCCCUCACUUGGUCCCUAGGCCCGGAGCUGAGUGGGCUCAGGACGGCUCUACGCAGCCCGGAACUGCACGCAGAUUAUACACUAAAAAAUCCAACCGUCAUCCUCAGACGCCCGCAUCCUCAGCACCACAGGACCACGACCUGUAGCAGGCACUCUCUCCUCUCUUCUGCAUCCUCAUCUUAAAUCUCACUCUUACCUGAAUCCGAUCUAAACUGGAGCGAACUUCUUUAAAUCUUCCCCACUGUGGGUCCACAGUAUCAAGCCCAAACGUCUCGGUACAGAAACCCUUGAUCGUCUGUUUUUUCUCCAGCUGCAUCUCUCACCGUUGACUGAACUCUCCCUUCCAGAAACACUGAACUACUUAUACUUGCUUCCCACCCCCACAGUCUUCUCUCUCGCCUCUAAUGGCUUCCUCUCUUUCAGUGCUCUGGCCGUCCUAACUUCCCUCGGCUAAUCCGUACUUGUCCUCAGCCUCAGCUUCAGUGCAAUCUCAUUCUGGAAGCCAGCAUCCCCCCCCCCUCCUCUGAAGUAGGUACGCGUUUUACGUGAACUGAUAACAGCCUUUCAGAUGAACGUCUACUGCAUCGGCACUGCCUCCACAAACUAGCCUUUACUCCCACUAAAAACAGCAAGUUUGUCGUUGUCUCGCUCACGUCCCAGUGUCUAGAACAGUUCUGACCACAAAGUGUGUGUUUGAUCGAUAAUUAAUACAUGUGUUAGAUAAAUGACAGCUGUCAUUUCCAAGUUCAUAGGUUCUUCUGUUCAUUCAUUCAUUCAAAACACGUUUGAACGUCUGCUGUGGACCUAGUGACUCAAGGCACUGGAGUGACGCAUACCAGGCACUGCAGAGCGACGGCUGGGUCCACUGCCUGCCGAGGGGAGACUACAGUCACAGGGUCUGUGGUGGGGCACUCUGGGGGAGUUAGGGUUUUGGACUUCAGACUCCAGUGGAACAGAGGAUCCUUGUGUCAACAGCUCCACGACAGGCAGGGUUUCUCACUGGAGGAUGAGAAGGGGCCUAAAGACACCGCCUCCAACGGCACACAGUCACUCAUACACGCGCCCAGCUAAGUGGAAUGUGACCCCUUAGGAAGAGAAAAGGUUGUACUUAAU